GACAAGGUCAGCUAAUUAAGCUUUCGGGCCCAUACCCCGAACAUGACGGUUAAACCCCCUCCCUCGUCA
rnacentral:tRNA from 4 species